GCCUCCAUCAUAAGGGCUCACUGCACCUCUGAAACGCCCUGAUGAUGGAGGUAAUAAAUACUUUUGAAACGUCAAUAAUCUUCAUAUUAUCAGGCCAAUAUCGUAAAGAAAUUACAGAUGUUUUAGAAAUGUAAAUUAGUUUUUUAAAUAAGGGAUUUGAACGGGUAAUGUGGUAUCUCUUACAAAUUCGUCCAUGAAGAUUAUCUUUAGGAAAUUAAGUUAUUUAUUGUGAAGUGCUACAGAUUCGUUCUGAACGGAUCCACGUGGUAAGCGGUUUCCUGUAGCAAACCUUUCGUGAACAAUAUGUUAUUCUGCUAAUAAGGUAAGGGGAGACCCACGCAAUAUAGCCUAGGUACAGUCAGGAAAGAAACACCAAAGAAUCAAGGACACACGGUGCUGUGUUUAACAAAUAGCUCAAUUUUAAAAAAUUAACAAAGAUAUUGAUUUACUCUGGCGUAAUGAACUCUUGGGUGCAAAGCCGUGGAGACUUACAGAUAGACACACAGCUGGUGUGGUACGUGAAGAAAUUAGUUUACGUCACGCUGUGCGGAAACAGUGAUCUGCGCAUGCGCGAGUAACUCGUAUGAUGUGCUGUGUGGAUAACGCGUAGCGCUGUUAAAACAGGACACAGUCGAAUUUAUCAUUCUUCAAUAUUAAUCUACAGUCUGUGUGCGUAAACCUCGGAGCAAAAUAACGUUGAAACUUUAAAACCAUGAGGACAGGAACAUUAUCAUGUUAAGUUAUCGAUGGACAAUCACCUCUUGGUGAUAUGAGUCAUCGCCCUGAUGAUGGAGGCAGCAAGGACCUCUGAAGCACCAAUAAACUUCUACCAGACUACACGUCGUAACAACCCAGAAGACAGCAAUCUUCAGGCAUCUCUUACUUAACAGGAAACCAGACUAAUUUUUACCAAUCUCGUUGUAUCUCGCUUGUUCCGACGCCAAUAAAGUUGAGCUGCACUGAAUAAGCAAUUUUUCCCCCAGAAAAUGAUUCCACGAGAACUACGUGUCCCGCCGAUCUGAACAUUCUUAAUUUGAACAUCUAAAUAAUAUUGUAUGAAUGUAGCGUACAAAUUAUUAACCUACGCUUUGUUCUGUUUCAUCCAUUUUUCUCGAACAAAUGUAACACCAAUACAAAACAGAAGGUAAAAGUAUAUUUAAUAGUUUCGUUUUUACGUUCAAAAUACGAGAUUACUAUAAAAUUUAUUCUGAACAAAAUGAUAUUAAGCAUUUCUAGAAUACAUUCUGCUCUCUUAACUUCUUCGUUAAUAUAAUUUUGGGAAUUUUACUGACUUUCCCCCCAAAAAAAAUUUUACUCUUAUCUCAUAUUCAAAUAAUUUUUAAAUUAGCUGUUUUAUAUUAAUAUUCUAUCGUGGUGUAAAUAUGGCACAUUAAGAACCAAAUAAAUUAAUAAAUAACCAUUUUACUGUAUAUCUUUCACACAAUUUAGUAAUACUAGGCUCCAGAAUUAUCCUUACAAACCAUCCUGUUCUAUAUCAAGCGUGAAGUAUUGAACACAAGCCUACUUUUUUUUUCCAAUAA